UUUGCAGCAAUGCCUUGCGGCUAUACUGAAGCUUUUCCACCGCCCCUUUGAAAAAAAAAAGAAGUAUUUUUCUGAUUAGAUGUAAGGAUCGGCGCUCUCCAUUUUGCACUUCUUCUUGGAUAAAGUGGUCCAUCCAUCACUGUUCCCCAAUAACUGCCAGGAGGGGUCUGGUUGCAUGUUCCUAACUCGAAAUGUACCAGUCCCCGAGAAAAUAAUCGUAAAGGCUUCCUCUAUAUGCUGCUGACUACAAUUCCCAGAAUCCAAAGGGGCAAAGGGAAGGCUGUCUCUCUCUCUCAUUCUCUCUGUCUCUCUCUCUCUGCUGGUUCCAGAAGAUUUGAGUUGGAGGGGGCAAGAUUGGCAUCAAUGCCCACCCAGGCAGAAAUCACACCGGUCAACAGAGAGAUGUAGUUGGACCCCUGAGCUUAAAGAAGAUUCUUUUGGAGGGUCCCCAAGGUAGAUUAUCCAUCCCUGUUCACAGACUGAGAUGACGGAUGCUUUGAGUUUUGAUGCAGAUGGGACCAAACAGUGUGUUAAACCUGCUUCUGCUGUUUCUGGUGAUCUUCUUGCUCCCUGAAUAUUCGGCUUUGUUGGAGGUUGAUGGAGGCUGGGCGACAAGUGAGCACGCUUCCCUAGAGGAAGAAGAGGCCUGUACCAUAGAGAGGCGGGAUGCCAGACUAACCUAUUACCAGUUCAUUCAACAGUAAGGGGAAAUGACUUCUUCGGGAUUGCUGGACGUGUGGAGCAGGGGGCCAUAUUUCUGGGGGGAAACUGAAACCUGUGAUGGGGCACUUCAGAAUUGCACGGGGAAUGUGGAGUCCAUGAGAACCUUGCUCUGCCGUGGAAGCUCACUGGGACCUUUUCUGCACCUGCCUUUAGUCAGGAGCAAGGGCCACACAGGAAGCUUCUGAGCUUCAUAGAUCUGCAUGGUAAUGCAGUUCUGUGAGGCCUGACACACACACNCCCCUGCUGGAACAGGGAGACCCUCUUCAGUAUCCCCGGCAGUUAUGAUUAUGCAUGUCUACUGGCGUACCAGAGGGUUGAUCCAGGAGGCAUACAGAAGGAACACCUCCUAGGUGCUGGACUACCAAGAGACGCAUUUCAACGUCCCGCCAUAGCGCGGCACUGAAGUGCGUCCCCCAGAAUCUCCAAGGCUAGAAACUUUUGUUCCUAGCCCUCGGAGGUACCAGACGCUCGCAUGUGUUUCAAAGCCCUGGUGUGGGCUGGUCUAGUGUGGACUGGACCACUGCCAUCAUGCAGACNGUGCUGACCCUGUGGUCGCAGACCUACUGAUUCCGAUUACGGGCCUGUCAGUGCAGAAGGGCCCUGGGUCUUCCCCACCGAAGUUAAAACAGCCUCACGGCCUUUUGGGUGCCUUCAAUGGGGCACAGGACAUUUUCCCAUCACCUCCCGCAGCCAACCCA
rnacentral:lncRNA from 1 species